GCCCCAUUAGCUCAGUUGGAUAGAGCAGUAGACUUCUAAUCUAUUGGUCAGAGGUUCGAAUCCUCUAUGGGGCGCCA
rnacentral:tRNA from 1 species